GUGAACAAACCAGAAUAAGUUUAGUUUAGUUCGGUUUACAUAGUUUAAUUUCAGUCGAACAAAUUACAAGAAAACGACCAAGAAAUCAAGAAAGUCAUUUGAUCAAAUAGAUGUUGGUGGAAUAUCUAUUCCAACUUUCUCUAUAUACUUGUUUCUGAUUUUGGAGAAAUGACUAGUAAAGGAGUUUAUUAAUUUUAAUUUGCAUCUAAAUUAUUAGAUAUUUUCCUUCUUAAUUUCAGCUUUAAUAAGAAUUUUGGGUCAUCUGAGCGAAUCGUCAAGCCAGUACAUGGAGAAAGAAAGAGUUAUACAAAAGUAUUUGAGAAACAGCAAAAAAGGCAACAAAUAGAAAAAGGAGAAGACUGGCUGCCUAAAAAAACAGUGAAAAAAUAUAUAACAUGGAAUUGAACAAAGGUGAACUGAAAAAUAAAAAAGAAGAAAUAAAUACCACAAAAGAUAAAAAAAAACAGACUCUGAGAUUUUCCUUGAAAGGGGUUCGGAGAAAGGUGAACUGAGAAUACGAAAGACAAAUACAUGGCCAAAAGGGAAAAGGAAGGUUGACACAAGAACAGCGAGGUUUUUGGUUGAAAUGGGAAUCGAACUGCGUCUAUCGCAGGAAGAACCCUUUCUAUGGCCUAGCAUCAACAGGUGCACCCCAUGGUCAUGUGUGACUGCGGGUGCCAAUUUUUCUAUAUAGCUAAAAUUUGGAAAAUUCUCUAUAUACACAGAUUUCCAGCCAAGCUCAUGGGUGCCAGUGGGCUCCAACCAUAACACGUGGGUCCGCCUCUGGUUCACAAUGGAAAGCUAAUUGUAAAUGGUGUUGUGAGGAAUGAAGAUUUUGUUCUUGAGGCGCCAAAAUAUGAAAUGACCCCAGUGCGCGUACCUGAGAAUUCAGUUUUUGUGAUGGGUGAUAAUAGGAAUAACAGCUAUGAUUCACACGUCUGGGGUCCCCUCCCGGCAAAGAACAUUAUUGGCAGAUCCAUAUUCCGAUAUUGGCCUCCAACAAGGGUGGGUGGAACAGUUUCCCAACAAGGUUGUGCUGUCAACGAGCAGGGAACUAGUUUAGCGCCUCAGUGACUAAUUUAGCUUUAAAAUUGAAGCCCCCGUUUACUUUUUUUCCCCUUGGUUGCGAUUAAAUUCACUCUAUAAUUUUGGAGUGAACCAUUUUUAAUUGUAAAAAUAAUCAUUUGUAUGGAAA